GGGCCUGUAGCUCAAUGGUUAGAGCGAGGGACUCAUAAUCCCCAGGUUCCAGGUUCGAGUCCUGGCAGGCCCACCA
rnacentral:tRNA from 1 species